CAAUCUCUCGAUCGAUUGGGACCACUGUUCAGUAGUUUUACUCUUAAUAUUAAAACUUGUAACACAGAUUUAAUAUGUUCACUGAACUUGUGAUCCAAGCGAAUCGGAUCAUUCUAGUGCGAGUCGGCACCGAUACCGUAUCAGUUGAAUUGAUUUAUCCUAUAAUUCCCUCCAUAUGGUCCCAUCAACAUCAUCAUCGAUCGGUCACAGGGGACGGACAAGGGACAAUCGCUUUGUAUUGGCCACUCUUCUUCUGCAGUCUUCCGGCACGACAGUUUUUCCUCCCGCGAUUUUCCUGACAAAAACCGGCGUGAGACUUCCGGUGCAGACCCUGAACUCAGUACAAGGAGAUCUCGAGUCCAUCUUCUGUCGGAGUCGCUCCGUCUCAUCUGCAGAUGCUUCCAGGUUGCGUUCAGUUAUCUAAUCUGCUGAUAUUAGCUGUAUCGCUAGGCAAUCACACCUUGAUCUUGGGUGCCUCGCUUCCCAUUGAAGUUGGAUUCGUAUCUCAUUUGUUUUGGAAUGCUUACUCUCCAUAGGAACUGCGCCACAUACUUCAAAAGUUUAAUCUAUUAUGUCGAGCCGACAUCACCAUUUCUGGGCCUGCAAAAGCUGAGCGUUGUGAACGAUGCAGUGAAGUAUGUACAUUAUAUAACCCGUGGGCAUAUUAAACCGGCAGAGGGCAUUGGUUUGGAUGAAUCCCUUCAUCUACGUGCUCGUCUUUGCUUGUUUUCCUCUUACUCUUCUGGACCCAUGUCGAGAUCAUACAGAAGGCGAGCUAGUAGAAGAGCGAAAGCUAAUCGGAAACCCACUCUCAAUGUAGCUCAAUUCAAACAGGCGAUCUCCCAACUCUCGCCAAGGUUUUCACCCGAGGAGCUUUGCGACAUCAUAACUCUGCAGGAAGAUCCUUUGGUAUGCUUAGAACUGUUCAACUGGGCAUCUCAACAGCACAGGUUCCGGCACGAUGUCUGCACAUAUCACAUAACAAUAAAGAAACUCGGUUCAGCGAAAAUGUAUGAAGAAAUGGAUACUGUUGUUAAUCAAGUGCUUGCAGUCUCUCAUAUUGGGACGGAGGCUCUUUACAACACGAUCAUAUAUUUCUUCACAGAAGCUAGGAAGCUGACAAGAGCUGUGAAUAUAUUCAACCACAUGCGAAACAGCAGGAAAUUGGACUGUAGGCCGUCGGUUAGAACUUACAAUCUCUUAUUUGCAGCAUUUUUGAGCAGGGGCAAGAAUUCUUACAUCAAUCACAUGUACAUGGAGACUAUAAGGAGCCUGUUCAAGCAAAUGGUGAGUGAUGGGAUCGAACCCGAUAUAUUCACCCUGAACUCUAUGAUAAAAGGGUAUGUGCUUUCCCUUCAUGUGAAUGAUGCGCUCAGAAUAUUCCAUCAAAUGGAUGUGGUAUACAACAGUAGUCCCAACUCAUUUUCAUAUGAUUAUUUGAUCCAUGGGUUGUGCGCCCAGGCUCGCACUGUAAAUGCAAGGGAAUUGUUCAACGAAAUGAAAGAAAAGGGUUUCAUUCCUAGCAGCAAAUCGUAUAAUUCCCUUGUGAGUGCAUUGGCUUUAAAUGGAGAAAUCGAGGGUGCAGUUAGUUUUAUGUGGGAGAUGAUUGAGAAACACAGGUCUGGCGAUCUAAUUACAUAUAGGACAGUCUUAGACGAGAUGUGUAGACGGGGGAAUGUUAAGGAGGCCAUGAAUUUGCUGAGACAGCUGCAAGAGAAAGAUGCCAUGGAUGGGCAGGCUUACAGGAAGCUUCUAUAUGUCCUUGAAGAUGAUUUCGGGCACUGAUUUCGACAUGCAAUUAAUUUUAUCAGGACUAUGGUGCCAUCCAGUUCUUAUGGAGCUGUCCCAUUUCCUCUUUUACGGCUUCUGCACAUAUUUCGCCAUAGAUCUUACAUGUGGUAUCAUCAACUUUUGUUACUGCUGAUGCUGUAUCUCAGAUUCAUCUGGAUCCUGAGAAAAAAAGAACAUUCUAUUGUUCAACUAUUGUUGCAUAGGUAUCAUUUUCCUCCACAUGGAAUUUAAGGUGCUUUUCAUUAGGGGUGAUGUUGGAAUUGGAUUAUUGCGGUUGUGAUUCAUAAUUCGAGCAAUCAUCACAGGCUUUUGCUAGGAAUUGGCAGCUCCUUGUCGUACGAUCAAUCUCUUAACUGAGAGGAACCGCGAGUUUUCUCCUGUGAGGUUUAUCCAAGAAGUUUCUCUUGCAAGGGAGGUUAAAUGGGGCAAACCACUAAGGAAAGGCAUAUAGACAUGUCCAUAAGUCUUAUGGCUUUUCGAGUAGAGGGCGCCUGCUCCUUUUAUAAACUUCUUCGGUGGAAGCUGCAGCCUAUAUUUUCCCAUCUGCUUUCGAAUGUACUUGUGAUCAACUCUUGAAGAAGGAUUCCACCAUUCUUUUUUAAAAAAGACAUCUUCCACAUUUGUGGAGUACGAUAUAUAUAAUCUUGCGUAUCCUCAUUGACAAAAGAUUGGUUGAAUGUCGAUAUCACGGGACUUUUAAGUCGCCAUCUACUUUUGGUAUGUUGCAUUACAUAGGGACAAAAUGCUGGGAGAAAAUUGUACUUUCCUCUGUAUCUAUCAUAUUAUAACAUCGAAUGAGAUCCUGAUUCUAUUCUUUA